UCUUCUUAUCAAUAUAUGAACAUGAAGGAAACUUCGUGGAAACUUACAAAAGGACGACAAGUACGUGGCGGUGUCACGGGGGUUGUCGUUACUUACUCUUCUUCAAGGGGCCACGACUCACGAGCUUCCAACUUUGAUCCCAAUAUUCUUAUUAAAACUACAAUAACCCAUGUAGACAAGAAAAAACCAAUAACUGAGGUGAAAGUACAUUUGGUUUUCAUUUUCUGGCAAACAAAUUUGUGUUUUUUGGUCAGGAGGUACUACAGCUACAGCUCUUCCUGACGGACCUUCUUGAGUUACAAAGGGGUAUGCAUGCUCAAGUGGGGAGAUCGUUAUAGAAUCUCCAACACUCUGACCAAGGACAUAUGAGAUUGAGAAAAGUGUAGACUUCCUUUGUUUGCCGUAAGGGGUAGUCGUCGGUGGCAAAAGGAUCUUUCUGAUUUGGAGAAGCUCAGAAGACUGUAAUUGUUACUUUGAUCCUUACUUCAAAUCUCUCGGUUUUGAGUUGUUUUGACAUUGGGGUAUAGUAAUACAAGACAUAAAAAAAUCUCUCACAUUUUGCAUGUUGAGAGCACUUCCGAUUCACAGUAUGAUAAAUAGUGUUUAUUUUUCUUCAUGGGUUGGGUAUCUUUCUUUGUCAUUCCAAAUUAAUGCAAAACCAGUUGAAGAAGAUUGGAAUUAAUAGUAGUUCUAGAAGAACUAUUAGUUUAUAUAUAAAUAGUCGACUGUUACACUCGA